CCACCGGUUGCGGGCGCGCUUACACAUGCAAGUCGCACGAGAAAGUGGAGCAAUCCAUGAGUAAAGUGGCGUACGGGUGAGUAACACGUGGAUCAUCUACCUUCUAGUGGGGAAUACCCCCGGGAAACUGGGGACAAUACCGCAUAAGCUCGAAAGAGGAAAGCCGAAAGGCGCUGGAAGAGGAGUCCGCGGCUGAUUAGCUAGUUGGCGGGGUAAUGGCCCACCAAGGCGAAGAUCGGUAGCCGGCCUGAGAGGGCACACGGCCACACUGGCACUGAAACACGGGCCAGACUCCUACGGGAGGCAGCAGUGGGGAAUCUUGCACAAUGGAGGAAACUCUGAUGCAGCGACGCCGCGUGAGCGAUGAAGCCCUUCGGGGUGUAAAGCUCUUUCGACGGGACGAUGAUGACGGUACCGAUAAGAAGCUGCGGCUAACUACGUGCCAGCAGCCGCGGUAUUCGUUAGCAGCAAGCGUUUUUUCGAAUUUCCGGGCGUAAAAAAUGUGUAGGCGGGGCCCUAAUUCUGUUUGGAAAUCUCCCCGGGUUUAAUUGGGAGGGGGGGGGGGGAAAUUGGAUGGCCCAGAAUGGAAAAGGGAACGGGAAUUCCGGGUUACCGGUUAUUUCUAAAUUUUUUGGGAAACCGGGGGGGAAAAAGUUUUUGGACUUUUUAAACUUAAAACUAUUUUUUGUUAAAAAAGGGUAAAACCCGGGACCCCCCCCAAAAAGGCAAUUGUGGGUGGGUUUUUUUUUUGGCGAGAAAAAAUUUUUUUUCCCCUGGGAAACCCCCCGGGAAACCCAGAAGUGGGGGGCCCCUUUUGUGUUUUUUUUUUUUCCCGGAAACACCGGGGCCGGGUGGGAAUCUUAAAGAUUUCUAAAAUUUGAAGUGUCGGGGGCCCCCCGUGAUUUUUUUUUGUCAACCCCCCUUUUUUCGAAAUGUUAACACCCUCUAUAAAGGGAGAUGUAAUAUAUCUCUGCGUCCUCUGUGGGAGAGAGCGAGAAUACAACAAACAAAAUACGUCUACACACAUGUGUCCGUGCUCGCGCGCCCACAAUAUGUGUCUUAUGGAAGAGAUAGUGUAAUAUAUGUGUGUUAUAUAUACAGCGACGCGUCUUUAGAACACUACUCACUCCCUGAAGAGACCUCAGGUGUGUGCUCUUCUUACUAGCGACGCGUCGUGUAUGUGCAAUGAUAGUGACUAUAGAUAGCUCUGCUUGUACUACGUAUGACUACUGGAU
rnacentral:rRNA from 1 species